rnacentral:rRNA from 1 species
GACGAACGCUGGCGGCGUGCCUAACACAUGCAAGUCGAACGGAGAUAUGAUUUCGGUUGUAUCUUAGUGGCGAACGGGUGAGUAACGCGUGAGCAACCUGACUCUUAGAGGGGGAUAACACUCGGAAACGGGCGCUAAUACCGCAUAAGACCACGACAUGGCAUCAUGACGAGGUCAAAGGAGCAAUCCGCUGAGAGAGGGGCUCGCGUCCCAUUAGAUAGAUGGCGGGGUAACGGCCCACCAUGUCAACGAUGGGUAGCCGAGCUGAGAGGCUGAUCGGCCACACUGGAACUGAGACACGGUCCAGACUCCUACGGGAGGCAGCAGUGGGGAAUAUUGGGCAAUGGGCGCAAGCCUGACCCAGCAACGCCGCGUGAGGGAAGAAGGCUUUCGGGUUGUAAACCUCUGUCCUUGGUGACGAAAAAAAUGACGGUAGCCAAGGAGGAAGCCCCGGCUAACUACGUGCCAGCCGCCGCGGUAACAC